UAUGGCCAUAUCACAUUGAGACAUCAGUUCUCAUCUGAUCACCGAAGUUAAGCAAUGUUGAGCCUGGUCAGUACCUAGAUGGGUGACAC